rnacentral:rRNA from 1 species
UACGUAGGUGGCAAGCGUUAUCCGGAAUUAUUGGGCGUAAAGCGCGCGCAGGCGGUUUCUUAAGUCUGAUGUGAAAGCCCACGGCUCAACCGUGGAGGGUCAUUGGAAACUGGGGGAACUUGAGUGCAGAAGAGAAAAGCGGAAUUCCACGUGUAGCGGUGAAAUGCGUAGAGAUGUGGAGGAACACCAGUGGCGAAGGCGGGCUUUUUGGUCUUGUAACUGACGCUGAGGCGCGAAAGCGUGGGGAGCAA